UACGAAGGGGGCUAGCGUUGUUCGGAAUUACUGGGCGUAAAGCGCACGUAGGCGGAUUUGUAAGUCAGGGGUGAAAUCCCGGGGCUCAACCUCGGAACUGCCUUUGAUACUGCAAAUCUCGAGUCCGGAAGAGGUGAGUGGAAUUCCUAGUGUAGAGGUGAAAUUCGUAGAUAUUAGGAAGAACACCAGUGGCGAAGGCGGCUCACUGGACCGGCAUUGACGCUGAGGUGCGAAAGCGUGGGGAGCAAACAGG
rnacentral:rRNA from 1 species